rnacentral:rRNA from 1 species
GACGAACGCUGGCGGCGUGCCUAAUACAUGCAAGUAGGACGCAGUUGCGAACGGGUGAGUAACGCGUAGGUAACUACCUAUUAGAGGGGGAUAACUAUUGGAAACGAUAGCUCAUACCGCAUACUAGUAGAUGGACCUGCGUUGUAUUAGCUAGUAGGUAGGGUAAUGGCCUACCUAGGCAACGAUACAUAGCCGGCCUGCGAGGGUGAUGGGCCACACUGGGACUUGGACACGGGCCCAAAUCCCACGGGAUGGAGAAGGAGGGGAUCUGCGGCAAUGGGGGGAAAGCUGGCCGAGCAACGCCGCGGGAGUGGAGAAGGUUUUCGGGUCGUAAAGCUCUGUUGUUAAGGAAGCGGUACUUAACCAGAAAGGGACGGCUAACUACGUGCCAGCAGCCGCGGUAAUUC